rnacentral:rRNA from 1 species
CCUACGGGUGGCAGCAGUAGGGAAUUUUGCGCAAUGGGGGAAACCCUGACGCAGCAACGCCGCGUGAUCGAUGAAGCCCUUCGGGGUGUAAAGAUCUGUCAGUGGGGACGAAACCUGACGGUACCCACAGAGGAAGCACCGGCUAACUCCGUGCCAGCAGCCGCGGUAAUACGGGGGGUGCAAGCGUUGUCCGGAAUCAUUGGGCGUAAAGAGUUCGUAGGUGGCACGUUAAGUCUGGUGUUAAAGGCGGAAGCUCAACUUCCGUAGGGCACUGGAUACUGGCGAGCUUGAAUGCGGUAGAGGUAAAGGGAAUUCCUGGUGUAGCGGUGAAAUGCGUAGAUAUCAGGAGGAACAUCGGUGGCGUAAGCGGAUGACUGGACGGCAACUGACGGUGAGGCGCGAAAGCGUGGGGAGCAAACAGGAUUAGAUACCCUAGUAGUC